rnacentral:rRNA from 1 species
CCUACGGGAGGCUGCAGUCGAGAAUCUUCGGCAAUGGGCGCAAGCCUGACCGAGCGACGCCGCGUGCGCGAUGAAGGCCUUCGGGUUGUAAAGCGCUGUCGAGGGGGAGGAAAGCCGCAAGGCCUGACCGACCCCUGGAGGAAGCACGGGCUAAGUUCGUGCCAGCAGCCGCGGUAAGACGAACCGUGCGAACGUUGUUCGGAAUCACUGGGCUUAAAGGGCGCGUAGGCGGCCCGCACAGUCUCGGGUGAAAGCCCCCGGCUCAACCGGGGAAGGGCCUGGGAUACUGGCGGGCUCGAGGGGGAUAGGGGCGGACGGAACUUCCGGUGGAGCGGUGAAAUGCGUUGAUAUCGGAAGGAACGCCGGUGGCGAAAGCGGUCCGCUGGGUCCCCACUGACGCUGAGGCGCGAAAGCCAGGGGAGCAAACGGGAUUAGAUACC